CCUGUGAGCAUGACAAGUUAGAGGACCGUAAAGGGGUCAGUCAAAUCUGGUUCGACCACCAGAUAAUAAACACGAAAAACCAUUGGACUUUUCGUCAUGAACCUGAAGGCAACAUUUAAUUAGAUGACCACGCGGGGCCUUUCAGCUUGUAUGAUCGUACUGUUUUUACAGUAGAUCAACUGACACAUAUGGACGUUUUUUAACCCAAACAUGCCUUCCGAAACAUGCUAUAAUGCUAACGCGCCCACACACGUACACAUGUUGUUGCCAUGCUGAUGUAAAGAAGGGCGACAUUUACCUAAAUCAUCCAUGUUGGCCGGUCAAUGCUGUUAGAGCCGCAAUGUUCCCGCUCCGUCGAGCACAGCUUGGACUGCCCGCGCCGAUGUAGCGUCCACUCGUCCAAUGUGCUUGCAAAAUGCGUUGAAGUUUUCAAGUUGCCCUCUCACUCGGUGAGCUUCGAGCACACUCAUCGCCAGACACCCCCGGCAGAGAGGAGUCUCCGGUAAGAUCCAGCCCCCAUGACUGCUCCCUGCCCGCCUGCAGUCCACAAGCUGAAUACAAGGCUGCCGACGCCAUCUUGUGGCAGUUUCUCCCCAAACAUGGUGAGAAAGAUGGUGAAGUUGAUUGGGCCUGGAGCUUCUUUGAGCAUCUCAUCAAUCUCUUCCUGUUUCACAUUCAGGCGUCCUAUGGCGACCAACAUUCAACACUUAAGCUAAGUAGACAUCAUGCAUGUUGCGUAAAAAAAACAUCCAAAUACAGUGGGACCUCCAACGUAGAACACAAUUUCUUCCGUGCUGCUGGUUGACUUCUAAGUUGUUCUACAUAGUGAAUUAAUUAUUAACUGUACAGGCAAUGUUUGAGUAAAUGAAGACAAUUUAAGCACAGUAUAAUACACCUGAAUACGACUACCAUGAAGUAAAACUAGCCACACUUUGAACAUGCCUCGCAUAAUGGAGAGGGUGCAAGAAGGUGUUUAGAAUGACUGCAUUCACAUUAGCAUGUACUUGAUAUUUAAUGAACUGUAUGGCUCAUAUUGGAUUAACCUAAAUUAAUCCUAUAUUCCGAUGUCGCAGUAAAUUCCAUUCCUGGUUCUACGGUUAUUAUCACACUUUUCCUCUUUGCCAUCCCUGGUGCCCUUUUUUGGCCAAAGCCAAAGAAAAAGCCUGAGAGGAGGAGGAGGAGAGAGAAGGUUCCAGAAAACAAAAGAACAUGAUGAUCUCCAUUGUGGCUGCUGGUGUGUAAAACCCAAGGGAUGGUGAGCGUUUUAAUCCUGGCAUCCAGCACAUGACGACGCUGUCUGGAUGUUUAGCCAAAGCGGCAUACCAGCAGGGAGCUGCUGUCAAGGCUGGGACAGGUGCUCCAUGGACAAAAGAUACACUUGUGGAGCUAGCAAAUACUAGUAUUUAUGUCAUGUUUACACAACUAGUUAAGCAGCUUCAACUCACCUCCUUGAAUUCCUGAAUCUGGGCCUGCUCAAACAUGGAGAACACGUUGGAAUUGGCUCCCUCUGCUGUCCUCUUCUUGGCUUUUUUGGGGGCCUUCAGACAUGUCAAAAGUAGCAAUACGGCGCAGUUGCAUAAACUGUGACCACAAAAUGCUUUUUACUGGGACACGAUAUUAGCACAAAACAACAAAAUAGAGCAUAAAACGUACUAACAAACAUGGUCAAAGAUACCAAGCCAUUAUGAUGGGCACAAACACAAAAUGACAACAUCCUAAUAAAGACUAGUCCAUUUGUCUUGUUUAAAUGAACUAGACAUGGAAACAGUUGUAGCUGUCUUUGCUCCAUCAAACACACACAGACAGUAACUUACCAUGGCUGAGCAGCUGUGAGGUGAGACCAACAAUGAUGCCAGUGAACAAUGGGGAUGAUGGGGGGUGUCCUUUUGUAGCCCCCAAGCUCUGUGCUCCACUGGACGAUAUUUAUAAACAAUGUCCUCUUAAGGAAGUGACAGGUAAAUGAUGGUUUGACACGCUUUGUAUGCACACACACACACACACACAAACGCCCGUGUUUUCAUGGGCAGAGAGCUGAAUAACAGGAUUAGAAUAUCCAAAGCAGAUUGAAGGUUAAAGUAUCACCUUCUCAGUAUCCACACAACAUUGUUUGAACUACAGUGUGUCAACUGUGAACUAUAUGCAUGAAUUUGUUUGUGAUAUCAUUAGAUAUCAGUAGAAUCAGCCAGGUUCAUAUCACCAAGUAACUUUUGCUGCUACGACAAGCUCUUCAACAAUAUUUCAUUUAUACACUAUUUUCUCCAUAUUUACUUGCAAAACAGUGUGACGUAAGAUUUGCUUCCUGAUGGUCGUAUUAGUUAUUUAUUCCAAGUGAUGAAAUACUAGUAUUGUACAUACAAUAACUGAAGCAUUAUU